UUAAGUCCCGCAACGAGCGCAACCCCGCCGUUAGUGCCAGCGGUUCGGCCGGGCACUCUAACGGGACUGCCCGCGAAAAGCCGGGAGGAAGGAGGGACGACGUCUGGUCAGCAUGGCCCUUACGGCCUGGGCGACACACGUGCUACAAUGCCCACUACAAAGCGAGGCCACCCGGCAACGGGGAGCUAAUCGCAAAAGGGUGGGCCCAGUUCGGAUUGGGGUCUGCAACCCGACCCCAUGAAGCCGGAAUCGCUAGUAAUCGCGGAUCAGCCAUGCCGCGGUGAAUACGUUCCCGGGCCUU
rnacentral:rRNA from 1 species